GGUUAAGCGACUAAGCGUACACGGUGGAUGCCCUGGCAGUCAGAGGCGAUGAAGGACGUGCUAAUCUGCGAUAAGCGUCGGUAAGGUGAUAUGAACCGUUAUAACCGGCGAUUUCCGAAUGGGGAAACCCAGUGUGUUUCGACACACUAUCAUUAACUGAAUCCAUAGGUUAAUGAGGCGAACCGGGGGAACUGAAACAUCUAAGUACCCCGAGGAAAAGAAAUCAACCGAGAUUCCCCCAGUAGCGGCGAGCGAACGGGGAGCAGCCCAGAGCCUGAAUCAGUGUGUGUGUUAGUGGAAGCGUCUGGAAAGGCGCGCGAUACAGGGUGACAGCCCCGUACACAAAAAUACACAUACUGUGAGCUCGAUGAGUAGGGCGGGACACGUGGUAUCCUGUCUGAAUAUGGGGGGACCAUCCUCCAAGGCUAAAUACUCCUGACUGACCGAUAGUGAACCAGUACCGUGAGGGAAAGGCGAAAAGAACCCCGGCGAGGGGAGUGAAAAAGAACCUGAAACCGUGUACGUACAAGCAGUGGGAGCACGCUUAGGCGUGUGACUGCGUACCUUUUGUAUAAUGGGUCAGCGACUUAUAUUCUGUAGCAAGGUUAACCGAAUAGGGGAGCCGAAGGGAAACCGAGUCUUAACUGGGCGUUAAGUUGCAGGGUAUAGACCCGAAACCCGGUGAUCUAGCCAUGGGCAGGUUGAAGGUUGGGUAACACUAACUGGAGGACCGAACCGACUAAUGUUGAAAAAUUAGCGGAUGACUUGUGGCUGGGGGUGAAAGGCCAAUCAAACCGGGAGAUAGCUGGUUCUCCCCGAAAGCUAUUUAGGUAGCGCCUCGUGAAUUCAUCUCCGGGGGUAGAGCACUGUUUCGGCAAGGGGGUCAUCCCGACUUACCAACCCGAUGCAAACUGCGAAUACCGGAGAAUGUUAUCACGGGAGACACACGGCGGGUGCUAACGUCCGUCGUGAAGAGGGAAACAACCCAGACCGCCAGCUAAGGUCCCAAAGUCAUGGUUAAGUGGGAAACGAUGUGGGAAGGCCCAGACAGCCAGGAUGUUGGCUUAGAAGCAGCCAUCAUUUAAAGAAAGCGUAAUAGCUCACUGGUCGAGUCGGCCUGCGCGGAAGAUGUAACGGGGCUAAACCAUGCACCGAAGCUGCGGCAGCGACACUGUGUGUUGUUGGGUAGGGGAGCGUUCUGUAAGCCUGCGAAGGUGUGCUGUGAGGCAUGCUGGAGGUAUCAGAAGUGCGAAUGCUGACAUAAGUAACGAUAAAGCGGGUGAAAAGCCCGCUCGCCGGAAGACCAAGGGUUCCUGUCCAACGUUAAUCGGGGCAGGGUGAGUCGACCCCUAAGGCGAGGCCGAAAGGCGUAGUCGAUGGGAAACAGGUUAAUAUUCCUGUACUUGGUGUUACUGCGAAGGGGGGACGGAGAAGGCUAUGUUGGCCGGGCGACGGUUGUCCCGGUUUAAGCGUGUAGGCUGGUUUUCCAGGCAAAUCCGGAAAAUCAAGGCUGAGGCGUGAUGACGAGGCACUACGGUGCUGAAGCAACAAAUGCCCUGCUUCCAGGAAAAGCCUCUAAGCAUCAGGUAACAUCAAAUCGUACCCCAAACCGACACAGGUGGUCAGGUAGAGAAUACCAAGGCGCUUGAGAGAACUCGGGUGAAGGAACUAGGCAAAAUGGUGCCGUAACUUCGGGAGAAGGCACGCUGAUAUGUAGGUGAAGUCCCUCGCGGAUGGAGCUGAAAUCAGUCGAAGAUACCAGCUGGCUGCAACUGUUUAUUAAAAACACAGCACUGUGCAAACACGAAAGUGGACGUAUACGGUGUGACGCCUGCCCGGUGCCGGAAGGUUAAUUGAUGGGGUUAGCGCAAGCGAAGCUCUUGAUCGAAGCCCCGGUAAACGGCGGCCGUAACUAUAACGGUCCUAAGGUAGCGAAAUUCCUUGUCGGGUAAGUUCCGACCUGCACGAAUGGCGUAAUGAUGGCCAGGCUGUCUCCACCCGAGACUCAGUGAAAUUGAACUCGCUGUGAAGAUGCAGUGUACCCGCGGCAAGACGGAAAGACCCCGUGAACCUUUACUAUAGCUUGACACUGAACAUUGAGCCUUGAUGUGUAGGAUAGGUGGGAGGCUUUGAAGUGUGGACGCCAGUCUGCAUGGAGCCGACCUUGAAAUACCACCCUUUAAUGUUUGAUGUUCUAACGUUGACCCGUGAUCCGGGUUGCGGACAGUGUCUGGUGGGUAGUUUGACUGGGGCGGUCUCCUCCUAAAGAGUAACGGAGGAGCACGAAGGUUGGCUAAUCCUGGUCGGACAUCAGGAGGUUAGUGCAAUGGCAUAAGCCAGCUUGACUGCGAGCGUGACGGCGCGAGCAGGUGCGAAAGCAGGUCAUAGUGAUCCGGUGGUUCUGAAUGGAAGGGCCAUCGCUCAACGGAUAAAAGGUACUCCGGGGAUAACAGGCUGAUACCGCCCAAGAGUUCAUAUCGACGGCGGUGUUUGGCACCUCGAUGUCGGCUCAUCACAUCCUGGGGCUGAAGUAGGUCCCAAGGGUAUGGCUGUUCGCCAUUUAAAGUGGUACGCGAGCUGGGUUUAGAACGUCGUGAGACAGUUCGGUCCCUAUCUGCCGUGGGCGCUGGAGAACUGAGGGGGGCUGCUCCUAGUACGAGAGGACCGGAGUGGACGCAUCACUGGUGUUCGGGUUGUCAUGCCAAUGGCACUGCCCGGUAGCUAAAUGCGGAAGAGAUAAGUGCUGAAAGCAUCUAAGCACGAAACUUGCCCCGAGAUGAGUUCUCCCUGACUCCUUGAGAGUCCUGAAGGAACGUUGAAGACGACGACGUUGAUAGGCCGGGUGUGUAAGCGCAGCGAUGCGUUGAGCUAACCGGUACUAAUGAACCGUGAGGCUUAACCUU
rnacentral:rRNA from 1 species